GCACGCAUUUGUAGCACCCAUAGAGUGGCGCCUGCGUCAGUCUGCCGCUGGCUCUCGUGGAGUGUGGAAGUGCCCAGUCGGUCGCUUCGCCGUCACCGCGCCAUGUCAGUUGAGGCUUGGCUGUCAACGGGAGCGGACGCUCUGUCUACGGAGGGAAAGAGCGAUGACGGUGGCGCCAUCUGGUGUGAUGUCAACUAGGUGGUCACCUGUCGUCGAUCUCUGCAACUACUGGCCGUCAACGAGCAACAUGGUGGACGCUGGUCACUCAGGUGUUCCGGAGCAGUUUCUUCGACAUGGCAUCGUUGAUUUUCGAAUAAAUUGUUUCUCUCCACUCUA